CUGUGUUUUUAGUAAAUGGCGAGCUCUGUGCUUUAACUUUUCAGGUGGCAGCGAGCCAAUAUGCCAUGUUGAGAUUCAUGGCUCCAAAGUGCAAGCACUUCUAACGGUAAAUGGUAAUUCUAAGUUUGCCGUUUAAGUAGUGAUGUGCAGAUGAAUUCGGUUAUGGCGCUGAAUAAGAGUAUUUUCAUGUUGCAAUAAGUGAGAAUAGCUGGAUGUUUUCAUGCUGGCUUGUCGUAGAGUGAGAUUUUCUAUUUUUCUUUUUUAAUGUGAAAGACCUCUUCUGUCUUCUAAGUGUGUGUCGCUGAUAAAAUCUAAGUUUCAUACCAAGUACGUCUAAUUGAGCCUAUAGACAGCCCACUAAUUUCACCAAAUUGUUAAUUUUAUCUGGGUGCAUUCCAUUUACUUGGACUUGAAGGAUAUAGCUUGAAGAACUUAUACACUGAAUGGUUUUUAUGAUAAAGCGGUUUUGGUUCGAAAAGGCCUCGACGGAUUUGCUUUGUCUACCAAGGAUUAGACCUGUAAAGCUUCCUAAAUUGCUCAAAGCUAAAUAAUCGACGGACCAUAAAUGAAGUAUAUAAACUACAAACAUACAGAGCAUUAAGGAACCCGGAAAUAACUAUAGUAUAAACCUUUUCAACAACUAUAAAACUAACAACUAUAUCCACUAAAUGGUUGACUGUCGCCAAAAACAUAAAACAGCAACAACAUUUAGGCGUUGCAAAAGCAAAAUAAAGAAUUAUAAAAUGAUUCAUGAAAACUACAAGUUCCAAAAACCAGCAGCAAAAUAGUUAACAGCCAGCAAACGAUGUUGAGACGAUUCCACGAAAGCAACAAACAACCGCAAUAAUAACAGCAAAACAGCAAAAAGAACUCAUGCUGCCAGAAUGAAUGUUCAAAAAGCACAACUGAAAGAGGCAAUAAAGUGCAAACAAGCCAAAAUGAAGAGAAGCACGAAAAGAACGCAACAACAGUGAACAAAACAAAUGGCAACAUCAAAUUUUGCACACAUUCAUAUAGAGCUGUUGAAACCGAGGACUGUGUGGCUAAGCUAACUCUAUAAACCGGCUUCAUACAACGCGGGUGCAAGGGGGUAAUCGCUUUCGAGACAACAAACAAGAAGUGAAACAUAAAACACCAAAGUUAUGGUACAACAACAAUGCCUGCGCAAAUUAUUGUUGGCAUGCUGUAAUUUAAGUAACUGGCCGUUGUUGUUAGUAUUGCUACUGCUGGUAACUGGCUGAGGCGAUUGCGCUUGACGUGAAGGAAGGGAACUUUAACUUCAAAAUUUUUGAGUGGGGUGUUGGGCAGAUGCGCUGCUUUGUUGCUAUAGAACGUGCAGUGUUGCUAGCGACUAUUGCGAACAGUUGUUUUCAAAUCGCGGGUGCUGCUGCUGUGGCAUAUGCAGUGGAAAAUGAUUUUACAUAAGGCGGCUGAGGCAGAAAUACUUAAAUGUCAGCUUCUUGCUGAUUGCGCUGAUUGAUGAGAAGAUGAUUGGGAUAAAGAUUUGCUCAAUAAAUUAUUGAGGAGUUGAAAAUGCAUAAGAUAUUUGGAUAUAAGAUAGAUAAAGAAGAUUUUGGUAGAGAUUUGCUGAUAGAAGAUAGAUAAAGAAGAUUUGGAUAGAGAUUUGCUUACUAAACUAUUUAGGAAUUGAUAAUGUUUGAAAUAUGAUUAUCGAUAAGUUAUCG